AUAGCUUAUGUAACAAGUCAUUGCAGAGGAGGCAGACAGUUCUCAUCAGGGAAGCUGACCUCCCCAAGGCCAGCCAUGCCUUCGACACGCCACGCCCUGCUUCCUCCAGGAGAGGGAAUCCAGGGCCCAGGCGGUGAACAUGGCGGUCCUUCCGGGCUGGGAGGGAAGGGGCGGAGGGAGGGGAGGAGACAGACACACAACUGGGACAGAGCAGUUCUCCCGGAUGGACCGGCUCACUUUUCUAUUUGCUCCUCAGCGUCGGAGGCUUUAGGGUUGGUCUGCAGGGUGUCGCCUUUGCCGGUCACAUGGAUGUCACACUUCAGUUUCAGACAUCUCUGUGAAAUUACCAAGGAGAUUGACCAAGGAGAAACAAUAAAAAGAAGUUAUGGACAAGAGAGAUAUUUAAUAUUAAGAAAAUGACUAAAUUUCAGAGUGGAAGAAAUUAUCUUCUUCAAGUAAGAAAGCUGAAGACUAAAGAACUUGAAAGCUUAGAAAAACACAGCCAUUUUACCUUCCAAGACAGUCCUCCUAGUCAGUCAAUGAUUAAAUUUCAGCGUGUGGCUCCUCACUGGCCAACUUUCAAUGCUUGUGGAACACAAACCCAGAGUUUGUCAUGGGCGAUGAGGAACUUACAAGAAAUAAAAUGGGUCUGUUAAUGUAGUGAUGACUUUAAAAUCAGGAAAAAUUCUUUGCCUCUCCUUCCUGUUAUUUUUUUGUUGAAAACUGUUCGGGGCUGCGUUUGUGAGGAGGUUCGAAGGAUUUGCCAUGAGCUUAGGGGGGCCUGGAGGGGUGGCAGGGGCACAGCUUUUCGGUUCCAGGAGAGAGGAGGGGA